rnacentral:rRNA from 1 species
GGGAUCGCAAGACCUUGCGCUCUGGGAGCGGCCGAUGUCGGAUUAKCUAGUUGGUGUAAAGGCCUACCAAGGCGACGAUCCGUAKCGGGUYUGAGAGGAUGAUCCACACUGGGACUGAGACACGGCCCAGACUCCUACGGGAGGCAGYAGGGAAUUUUGGACAAUGGGCGAAAGCCUGAUCCAUCCAUGCCGYGUGGAAGAAGGCCUUCKGGUUGUAAAGCUCUUUCYGUGGGGAAGAAAUUGCAUAGGUUAAUACCCUGUGUUGAUGACGGUACCUGGAGAAKAAGCAYCUGGCUAACUAYUUGCCAAKCAGCCGCGGUAAAUACGUAGGGUGCGAAGGAAUUACUGGGCGUAAAGG